CCGCCUGCCCAGUGACUCUUUAAACGGCCGCGGUAUCCUAACCGUGCAAAGGUAGCAUAAUCACUUGUCCCCUAAAUAGGGACUAGAAUGAACGGCUAAAUGAGGACAAAACUGUCUCUUACGGAUUAGCCAAUGAAAUUGAUCUUCUAGUACAAAAGCUGGAAUAAACCCAUAAGACGAGAAGACCCUGUGGAGCUUUAAAACCAAAACCACCAAACAUGAUUCUUGGUUUUUUAGUUGGGGCGACUUUGGAGCAAAGAAAACCCUCCAAAACAUAAACCGUUUAUUAAGAAUAACACACCAAAAAUAGCUCUAUAGACCCAGCAACAUUUUUGUUGUCUGAUCAACGAACCAAGUUACCCCAGGGAUAACAGCGCCAUCCUCUUCUAGAGUCCAUAUCGACAAGAGGGUUUACGACCUCGAUGUUGGAUCAGGACACCCCUAUAGUGCAGCCGCUAUAAAAGGUUCGUUUGUUCAACGAUUAAAGUCCUACGUGAU
rnacentral:rRNA from 1 species